rnacentral:misc_RNA from 1 species
AAAAAAAAAAGAAAAAAAGAAGAGAAGAAUAUACAAACCAUUUAGUUUUUUGUUGGUUUUGAAGUUCAUAUUGCUUAUAGUUUGUUUGGGAGGAAGUGGGUUUUUAAAGUAGCAUGCUUGUUCGGUUGUUUGGGAGGAAGGCUUUUUUUAAAGGAGAUAAAGGUUUUUGGAGGUUUCAAAACCUUCAAAAUUAUCGCUUUUUCAAACUACCAAAUUGGUGGAUUGGGAAGUUUUGCUACCUUACUUUAUAAAACCUUCCCUCACUUCAUCCAAUCUCCAUCCAAACAUACUGUGGGGAAGUAUUGAGAAUUAUAGUGUAAAUUUCAACUAAUGAUGGAGAUAGUGGGAAGACAUAAAAUGAAAUUUGUGAACCUAUCGUAGUUUCAAAUUUUAUUAAACGUUGUUUAUAAAUAUCAAUAGAAACAAUUUUCUUUUUUGAAAUAUGUGAUUAAAUGAUUGUAGAAGUUGCAGUUGCAUAAUGUCAGUAUACAAUUCUAAGAUUUGUGCUUCUGAAGUGAAAGUUUAAAAAACAAAAAAGAAGAAGAAGAAAUCCAUAUAGUUAGAAAUGCAAAUGAAUUGUUCUAAAAGUUGUUAGUUGUAAUGAGGGAUUUUGUGAUCUGUAUCAUAUGCCGUAGAUAGAAUGAUUAGGGGCUGGCGUCUAACAGGAUAUUCAAAGUUGAUAGAAUCAUCUAUUGCAUAAUAUUUAUUGAAAUUCUAAGAUUCCUCUUGGAAUGUAAUGAUAAGGAGACACUGCCAUGAAGUUCCCAAUGAAAUGGACUAUAGAGCUUCUUCUGGCACUUUUCUUUUUCUCUUAAUAAUUUUCAGUUUUAUUAGAUAGGGGUGUUGUUGAUGUUAGAACCCUGAUCAGGACUAAUCAUAAGUUCUGCUUCUCAAAUAAUAUAUUUUUAUAAUUUUGAUAGCCUCCUGGAGAAAAUUAUGCCAAUCCAAGGACAUGCUUCUUUCAUGUUCUCUUCAAGGUUUGUCAUACUCAUAUCUUUCCUUGUAAAUUAGCUUUAUAAGAACAAUUCAUUAUACAUUCUUGUGUUUCUUGUUUUUGGCAGGCUGCAGCUUUGGCAUUUUACAUACUUUCUGCACUGUUUAUUGAUAAUUUUGUUAUCAUAUUUGUGGUGACUGUUCUUCUUGCUGCUCUUGAUUUUUGGGUGGUCAAGAAUGUGAGUGGUCGUAUUUUAGUUGGUCUUAGGUGGUGGAAUGAAAUAAAUGAUCUUGGCGAGAGCGUGUGGAAAUUUGAAUCCCUCGAACAAGAGGUUAGUAUAAUUGUACAUUGUUCUGCCUUCAUCAAAUUCAAGCAUAGAUUGAUUUUGAAGGAUUUUGAAGUGUCUACUCAAUUGCUUUAGGACCUUUGCUUACACUCAUUUUUAAUCUCACACAUAUUUGUACAUGUUUUUGCAUUAGUCAUUGGACCGGCUGAACAAGAAGGAUUCGUGGUUAUUCUGGUGGACUCUUUACUUAACGGUAAGCAAGUGGAAUUUUAUAUAGCAUGUUACUGAAUCACCAUAUGCUUAGCAUAUAAUACUUUAGAAAAAUUGGAUGCAGAAUAUUUUUAGUUGAAGAAAUGUAAGAGGAUACACCAUUGAAUGUUAAAGUGAAUUAUUGCCAAUUUUUGUGAAAGAUUCUAAUUGAAGCAUCUGAAAGGUGAAAACAAUAGGGAACUGUUAGUGAAUAGAGCUGUGGAUGUGAUUAUGUUGGUACUGGUCAUUCCUGCUUGAUUUGAUAUGGUUACUCUUUAGUGUCUGGAAUGAGAUAAAUGAUCAUUUAUUCCCAAUGUUUUCUAUAUUUAAUGUUGUCCAUUAACCUCAUAGGCCGUUGCAUGGGUUGUGCUUGGAAUUUUUUCUCUCAUAAGGUUUCAAGCAGACUACUGCCUCAUUAUUGGAGUUUGCUUGACUCUUAGUGUAGCAAACAUCAUCGGCUUCACUAAAUGUCGCAAAGGUGAGAAAGAAGUUGUUUGGUUUCUCAAUUAGUAUUUUUUUGCUUGAAUAUGACCUUUAGCAUUGUUUUGCUCUUCAGCAUCAUUCUUCUUAAAACAUUUGUGAAAAGAUUUAUUAUUUGAUAGCCGAAGUACAGGAAUAUGAGAUUUAUGUUGAUAUCAAAUAAAUCAUCCACAUUCUUUUUUUUUAAAACUGUGUUGAGGCAGUGAGAAAGGGGACCAGGAUUUAAAUUAACAUAUCUCGUGUAUAACUUGGUAACAGUACAUUGUGUGCCAUUUGCUGCAGCUUGCUUGUGCUGUUCUUAUGCUCAUCAAUUAAUUUGUUCAUUUAUGGAUCACACACACACACAUGCUUACCUGAUCCUUCCUCCCCUCUCUCAAUCCCCCUAACCCCCCAACCCCCCGCGCUAAAUUUUAUUGUCCUUUUCAAAGUUCUGCCAGACACAAAUUGGAUCAGGGCCUCUGGAAAAUGAUUGAGU